CAUCCCGCGUUGAUGCCACGCGGGUUAGCCGAAGGUAAGAAAGAACGUCAGAUUGAAUCACAGCUUGAUGAGGGUCAAACAGCAGCGUAAGAAGAAGGGCAAAAUGCGAACCACCGUUUCAAAACCUGAUAAUUCGUUUGGGAAACAGGCAGGCCACCCCUUCGGGCAAGACAAGACAAGCCCUAACAGGUGGGCAGAAGAUGGCAGCAGAUAACCAUCCUUGGCUUAUCUCAGAAAAACGAAACAGGAUUGGCCUCUCUCAGCCAAGAGAUCACAAACUCAAUCUUCUGAAGACGAAACCAGCCCGAGCUCCAGGAAACUCCAUCAGGGAAACUCCAGGAAAGUCCCCCCAACUUUGAGAGUAGACUGGAAAGUUGAAAACAAAAAGAGGAAGCUGGCAGAGUCUUUUUAUAAUGCCCUUUUCUUUCAACUCCGAGGGAAACUUUAGUCUGCAUCCCAAGGGCACCGUUGCGACGGCUUGAUUUUAAUUCUGCGGCAAGAAAGGUCUCGCAUUUUGGGGCUCAGUUGGGGGGGCUCGUAAGCCGAGGAUGACCUGUGAGUCAGCCAAUCCCAGCCGGCUCAGAUCCACUGCCGUUGGGUGAUGCUGCUCUGUGUCGAUCAAGCUUGCCACAAA